ACCUCCCCUCUGCAGCAGAUGGCCCCGGGUUGUGGCCCAGCUGCCUUCAGCGCCGAGGGCUGGGAAUGAGGAGGAGGAGGGAUGUGCUGGGCUGUCCCCACUGCGCCUUCGCUGCGUGGCACCGAGCACCGUGUCCCCGCUGGGCAGAGCUGCGCGGCUGCAAACGGCCGGGGAGGAGCCCCCCGGCGAGGGCACCGAGCAGAAGCGAUGCUGAGCUGAUGGCGGGACGGGGAUGUGCUCGGCAGUUUCUCCCUGUGCCAACCCGUCACUGAUGGAUGCGUGCGACCAGCUAUGCCCUCACUAACGUCGCUGCCGCAGGCGCAGCAAGCCCUAGCCCUGGUUCAACCCUUAUCAGACACUGGAGAAUCCCCCGAGGGGACGUCGUGGCGUUCUCGGGGCCUCUCCCGCCCAAGCACGUGGCCCAGAGCUGCGGCACUUCAGGGACGCUCGCGCAGCCGCUUGGCCUCAUCCAGCCCCAUCCUGGCUUCCAGCACGUCGCAGUGCCCGCAGCAUCGCCCCCACCUGCCCCGUCCUUGCUGGGAUGGUGAGAAGGAAACGCGCCUGGUGCCUGAAUCCUGGAAGGGCCUUAAAGAAAGUCUGGCUCUUUCCAGAACUACUACAGCAGAGAUUUCUUUAAUUGCCCUCUUAUUUUUCUAGCUUUUCCAAGCUCUCAUGCACAACCACAAGGGCUAACAGUCUAUUCUUACCUUUUAUUAAAAGUAGAGAUUCCCAUGUAAUCAAACCACUUCCAGAACAAGGGUUUAAAAUAUCAGUUAAUGCAAAAUGCAUAAUAAAAUAAAG